rnacentral:rRNA from 1 species
AUGGUUGAGGCCAAAACUAGCAUAGCUGCUGGAAAGUUUUUGCAUAUGAGAUGUGCGGCACAUAUUGUCAACCUUAUUGUACAAGAUGGCCUAAAAGAAGUUGAACUUUCAAUCAAACGUGUCCGAGCUGCUGUGCGAUACAUCAAGAAUGGGACUUCUCGGUUGGUAAAAUUCAAAGAGCUAGCAUUGGAAGAAAAAGUUAAGAGCAAAGCAUUCUUGAACCUAGAUGUAUGCACUCGGUGGAACUCAACUUACAUAAUGUUGAAGGCUGCCAUCACCUACGCGAAGGUGUUUACAAGGUACUGUGAGGAUGACCCAUUGUAUGCGUUGGACUUGUCUGAAGAAAAAGGAGGAUUUGGGUAUCCAGAUGAAAUGGAUUGGUAA